CUCAUUCAGUGGGUUAAGGAUCUGUUGUUGCCAUGAGCUGUGGUGUAGGUUGCAGAUGUGGCUCUGAUCCUGUGUGGCUGUGGCUGUGGCUGUGUCAUAGGCUGGCAGCUGCAACUCCGAUUUGACCCCUACCUAGCCUGGGAACUUCCAUAUGCCACAUGUGCGGCCCUAAAAGUGAUAGUUCUGUGAAGGGUAAGCUCUUUGGUCAAAAUUUUGCCUCAUAAAACACCAAAAGUUGGAGUUCCCGUCGUGGCGCAGUAGUUUAUGAAUCUGGCUAGGAACCAUGAGGUUGCAGGUUUGAACCCUGCCCUUGCUCAGUGGGUUAAGGAUCCGGCGUUGCUGUGAGCUGUGGUAUAGGUUGAAGAUGGGGCUCGGAUCUGGCUUUGCUGUGGCUGUGGUGUAGGCUGGUGGCUACAGCUCCAAUUAGACCCCUAGCCUAGGUACCUCCAUAUGCCAUGGGAGUGGCCCUAGAAAAGGCAAAAAAACAAAAACAAAAAUAAAAAACAAACAAACACCAAAAGUGUGUAUCUGAAGAUAACCUUUUCAGAUUGGUUGUUUUGUCACCACCAAUUUGGUGAGAUUGUCAUAAAAAAGAAUUUAUUUUGUCUCAUCAACUUUUAUGCCACUGUCUUCCAGGUUGUGUUGUAAGUGCUUUACAUAAGUAAACUUGUUCAGUUUUCACCAUAAACAAUUAUGGGGAGUAAUUAUCAUGUUUUCAUUUUACAGAUAAGAAAGCCGAAUCUCAGAAAAGUGGAGUGAUGUGCCCCCUAAACCACUGAGAGAGCUGAACCCUACCCCUGAGCUCAUCAAGGUCCAAAGACCAUGUUCCUUCUGGGACACACCGCGUCCUUUCCUUGUAAGAACCACUCAAGGCACAGAAAGGAAACCAUGGAGAAGUGAGGGAAAAUGCCAGUGCCUCAGAGAGGACUCUUCGGGCCACCCUGCCUUAAAUAGUCUCCCAUUCCCCUUACAAUCAGGGUCCCCAGUGACCAAAACGUAGAGAGAGAGUUGAGUGGAGAAUGGC
rnacentral:lncRNA from 1 species